rnacentral:piRNA from 1 species
GUCCUAGGCAUCAUCACUUCAUCACUGCCC